rfam:Rattus norvegicus chromosome 4, whole genome shotgun sequence.
GUCACUCGGUGUUCUCACCGAAAGCACGUAAUCGCCGGUGUAACUCAUGUUGGCUGGGGGGCCUCCCCGCUCGCAGAAAGGCUGGGGUGCGCCCCC